GAUGAAGAACGUAGCGAAAUGCGAUAAGUAAUGUGAAUUGCAGAAUUCAGUGAAUCAUCGAAUCUUUGAACGCACAUUGCGCCAGUAUUCUGGCGGGCAUGCCUGUCCGAGCGUCAUUUCAACCAUCAAGCCCCCGGGCUUGUGUUGGGGACCUGCGGCUGCCCGCAGGCCCUGAAAACCAGUGGCGGGCUCGCUGUCACACCGAGCGUAGUAGCAAUCACCUCGCUCAGGGCGUGCUGCGGGUUCCGGCCGUUAAACAGCCUUACAAAACCCAAGGUUGACCUCGGAUCAGGUAGGAAGACCCGCUGAACUUAAGCAUAUCAAUAAGCGGAGGA
rnacentral:misc_RNA from 1 species